rnacentral:rRNA from 1 species
CUAGGAUGUUGGCUUGGAAGCAGCCAUUCAUUUAAAGAGUGCGUAACAGCUCACUAGUCUAGGAGUUUGGCGUGGAUAAUAAUCGGGCAUUAAGCAAUUUACCGAAGCUAUGGGAUCAGUAAUGAUCGGUAGGGGAGCAUUCCACUCAGCGUCGAAGGUGAAGCGUGAGCUUUGCUGGAGCGUGUGGAAAAGCAAAUGUAGGUAUAAGUAACGAUAAAGGGGGUGAGAAACCCCCUCGCCGAAAGACUAAGGUUUCCUGAUCAACGCUAAUCGGAUCAGGGUUAGUCGGGUCCUAAGGCUCAGCCGAACGGUGAGGCCGAUGGCAGAACAGGUUAAUAUUCCUGUACUACCUUAAAGAGUGACGUGG